rnacentral:rRNA from 1 species
GAUGAACGCUGGCGGCGUGCCUAAUACAUGCAAGUCGAGCGAACGGACGAGAAGCUUGCUUCUCUGAUGUUAGCGGCGGACGGGUGAGUAACACGUGGAUAACCUACCUAUAAGACUGGGAUAACUUCGGGAAACCGGAGCUAAUACCGGAGAAUAUUUUGAACCGCAUGGUUCAAAAGUGAAAGACGGUCUUGCUGUCACUUAUAGAUGGAUCCGCGCUGCAUUAGCUAGUUGGUAAGGUAACGGCUUACCAAGGCAACGAUGCAUAGCCGACCUGGGAGGGGGAUCGGCCACACUGGAACUGAGACACGGUCCAGACUCCUACGGGAGGCAGCAGUAGGGAAUCUUCCGCAAUGGGCGAAAGCCUGACGGAGCAACGCCGCGUGAGUGAUGAAGGUCUUCGGAUCGUAAAACUCUGUUAUUAGGGAAGAACAUAUGUGUAAGUAACUGUGCACAUCUUGACGGUACCUAAUCAGAAAGCCACGGCUAACUACGUG